rnacentral:lncRNA from 1 species
UUUUCUUCUUGGCCAUUUCCAUCGAAGGCGGCUGCUCACCCCUGAAUCAACGCCACCGAAAUUCUUCCCCCACUCACACACGCCCACACCCUCUUUGAACUUUCCUUUGUCGGCCACCGAGUCAACCAACAAUUGAGUUUACCCCAGCAAACUUGACUCCUCCAGCUACUGUUCGUCCAUGCUUCUCUCAUGGACACGCCAGCAACACCACCGAAGACCCUUGCCAGCGACGCCUGCCUCUCCACGCGUCUAAGCCUCCACCGCCGUUAGUCAAAGCCCCAACGGAGCUGCCCCCUUCGUUGACUCCUCCUGCCAGCUGCCGCGCGUGCCCCACAGCUCAGACGAAGCUGCUCCUUCGUCCUCAGCUUCUCCAGCAGCGAAGGCCCAGCGAAGCCAGCGUGGAUUUUUCCCUCAGCCGGCUGCUUCUUCGCGGGCUCUCUUCAUCAUUCGGUCCAAGUCUCCAGUAGCAGCAACCCACGUGUUUCUUCCUUCGGUCCAGCCCGACUUCCUGCCAGCCGUUGCCACAUUUUCCAGUCAACCUUGCUGCCCCUCGGGUGGGUUGUUGACCUUUAUUCCGCCAGCGUGCGACAGCUGCCGCUUCUCUCUCUCCGCUCAGCUCACGCCCCACGAAGCAGAACCCCACGCGUCCGAAGCUGUCCCAUCUUCGUUUCUCCCUUGCCGCACGACGCCAGCUCCUUUGAUUCUGCUUCAGUUGCAGCGUGCAACCCAGCGAAGGCCAGGCCCACGGAUCCUCUUCCAUUUCCCAUCGUAGCCCAUCUUGGGGCCUUUUUGGUGCAGCCCACCGAGCAGCCCAGCUUCCAGCUUGUAAUUUGCUCAGCCCAUCUCUCCAGCAGCUCCAUUGAGCCCAAGUCAGCAAGCCCAAACAAGAUGCAGUCCAGCCCAACGAAAAUCUUCAGUCCAGUCUAACUUUGAAGCCCAGCAAGUUGUCAAUUUCAGUAGCCCAGUUCAGCCCAGUCCAGCAACCGAGUGAUUUCGACUCUUGAAGCAGGCCCAAGCCCAAGUCUAAGCCCAGAAUUUUAUGUGGGCUUGCAAGGUUUCUUGGCCCGGUCCAAGUUCGUCGAAAGCCCGAUUUCGGCUGCCGUUGCGUCGUCAUUGCAGUGUUCCGAUCUUUGCCUUGUACAGUGAGUUUUACUCAUUGAUGCAUUCUUAGUUUGGUAAUUAUGCCUAAGGGUUGAUUAGAUUUAAUUAUUUGCAAUUAUGUGAAUAUAUUAGAUUAAAGUAAUUAAAUUAAAGACUCAUUGAUGCAUGUUAAUUAAAUUGAUUGUGCAUUUAGCUAGUAAACAUGUCAUAUUAUUUAUUGGAUGCUUCUUGGGAUUUUUCCCGUCCCUUAUCGGGUGUUAAUUAAGUAAUUCGGGCCUAAAAUGAAUUAUUAGUAAUUAAAUAUUAAUUUUCGAAUUUAAUUAUUUAAUUAUUUAUUUUCCGGAAAUUCAACCGAGAUGGCCGGUGAUCGGAAUUUUGUGCUGAUUGUCGUGGUGCAGUCCAUUUAUUUAUUUGAGCUCUACAUUGCGUGGAAUUGAUUUGAUUGUGCAAUUUUAGUGAUUUAUCCCAAAUUGAAUGAAAUUGAAUGAUUAAUUGGUUGAUGGCCGAGUGUUAUUAUUUAGCAUCGAUAAUUUUGUAAUGAACUGUAAAGCAGAGGGAACUGUGAAAGUGAAUUGGGGAAAUUCUCGGCUGAAACCAAUCAGCAACGAUGUAAUGAGACAUAUGUGAUUCAGUGAUUAAAGGAUAUCACUGGUGAAAAUGGCGCCUUAAAGAACGCACGAGUGUUGUCUAUUACAUGCAGCAGUAUGGACAUACGUGGUUCGUUGAUGGAGGAUAUCACUGGUGAAAACGGUGUCUUAAAGAACGCACGAGUGCUGUCCAUUAUACACGUCACCUUGGCGGAAGCAACGCCCGAGAGCAUUAAUGAGGCUCUGUGACUAAGUGUACUGCUGGAGGUUAUCGUGAUCGGUAAUUGGUACGUCACCUUGGCGAAAAAGACGCCCGAGAGCAUUCAUCUGGCUCUGUGACUGAGUACCCGAAUGGAGAUUAUAAAGUAUGGUGUUGAUGUGAUCAAGAGGUGGUCCGAAUGACAUGUAAUCGACUAUGUCGAUUGAUCAUUGUUUUGAUCUGAUGUUGUGAAUUGGUUGAUUGAAUGGAAAUGACCGUGACUGGUCUUGUUGGCGUGUGAUCGACUAGAUCGAUUUGAUCGAUACUUCGAUUUGUGAUGUGAUUGCUUGGGUGCCUAUUUGAUCUGUGCUAAUAUGCAGGUGGAAUCUGAGGUCAAGGUAAGUCCUCUGACUCACGUUGUGCAUAGGCAGCCAUAAGGUGUAUUAGUUUACUAAUCGGGUCUUAGGGGGUAGAACUUGCUGAGACGUAAUCUCAUUCCGAUUUGGGGAAAACAUUUCAGGACCCUGAUGAAGAACCUGAGGAGAAAGAACUCGAAGAGGAGUAUCUGAAGGAGAACCCCGAGGAUGAUCCAGAGUAGGAUCCUGAUGACUGUUGCUGUAGAAUCUAAUUGAGUAGAAACCAACCUUUUUAGCAUGGUUUGUAUAUGUACAUGUAUGACUGAGUCAUUAUAGAUGUACAUAAAAGUGUUGACUUUCAGGUUCAAUUUUCUAGUCCUACUUAUCUAUCACAUUGUUUUAUUGUCUGAAGAUUUAUAACUGCUUCCGCAUGUGUAUAUAUAAAUGAAAGGGUCG